AAAACCACUUGGAUAAAAGACAAUAUCCAAUAGGAGAAGAGUUUAGCGGAUUAGUGGUCAUUCAAUCUCAUCAGCUAUGGCGCUUCUUUCCUCUCUACAUUCUCAGUCCCUUCGUCCUCACAUUACUCCCUCUUCAGCUGUUUUCUCUCACCUUACAAGAUUCAAGAAAUCCCAUGAUCAAAAUACUGUUUUUUGCAAAACCAAUCAACAAGAUCAAGAUUUACGCCUAACUAUUGAAGAACAAUCUCUAAAAGUUCAAAGAAGAGAUCUUUUGUUACACACUGUAUUCGGCGCUUUGUCUAUACCUGCCAUGGUUCCAUUUGCAUAUGCAGAGGAAGUUGUGCCAGAGGGUUUCCAAAUUUACUCCGAUGACGUGAACAAAUUCAAGAUAACGAUUCCUCAAGAUUGGCAAAUAGGAGGAGGAGAAGGCAAUGGAUUCAAGUCUGUUACUGCAUUCUACCCUUCAGAAGCUUCAAAUUCAAAUGUGAGUGUAGUGAUCACUGGGCUUGGUGCUGAUUUUACCAAGUUGGAAUCUUUUGGCAAGGUCGAUGCUUUUGCAGAGAACUUGGUUAGCGGAUUGGACAGAAGUUGGCAGAAACCCCCUGGUGUUUCAGCUAAACUCAUCGACAGCAAAGCCACUAAAGGAAUGUAUUACAUAGAAUACACACUUACGAAUCCAGGGGAAAGUGCAAGACAUUUGAUUUCUGUUCUUGGAAUUGCGAAUAAUGGUUGGUAUAAUAGAUUGUAUACUCUCACUGGACAGUAUAUAGAUGAUGAAUCAGAGAAAUACCGUUCAAAGAUUGAAAAGGCAGUUGCAUCAUUCAAAUUAGUUUGAUUUGUGUUGUUACAAAGCAAAAUCAAAACAACUGUAGUUACACAAGCCAGGAACUCAACAGUUCAAGUUGUGAAAUGAUCAGAAGAAUAAAUUAUAUAUUCUGAGUUUUGUGAACAAUUCAGCUACACAAGUUUCUUCAAUCUCAAAUUAUGUUGCAUUAAUUGAAGCCAUGGCUUUGAUUCGUAAACCAUAAUCACAAUAUAGAGGAUAGAGGAUAACAGGAUCAAGAAACUAUUGUACAAACUACAAAGUAAAAUCAAGAUAAUUCGGUUUUAA